rnacentral:rRNA from 1 species
AAAGAUUAAGCCAUGCAUGUCUAAGUAUAAACAACAAUACAGUGAAACUGCGAAUGGCUCAUUAUAUCAGUCAUCAUUGACUUGAUUGUACCCCAUACCACUUGGAUACCCGUGGUAACUCUAUGGCUAAUACAUGCACACACACGGCCCAGCUCCUUUACUGGAAGGGCCAGCAUUUAUUAGAUAUAAAGCCGAUACGCCCUCGGGCGGCACUGGUGAUUCAUAAUAACUGAGCGAAUCGUAGCAAUACGAUGGGUCAAUCAAAUCUCUGCCCUAUCAACUUUCGAUGGUACGGUAGUGGCCUACCAUGGUUGCAACGGGUAACGGGGAAUCAGGGUUUGAUUCCGGAGAGGGAGCCUGAGAAACGGCUACCACUUCUAAGGAAGGCAGCAGGCGCGCAAAUUACCCAAUGCUGAUUCAGCGAGGUAGUGACAAUAAAUAACAAGCCAGGGCCCAUUGGGUCAUGGUAUUGCAAUGAGUACAACGCAAACACCUUAACGAGGAACAAUUAGAGGGCAAGUCUGGUGCCAGCAGCCGCGGUAAUUCCAGCUCUAAUAGUGUAUAUUCACGUUGCUGCAGUUAAAACGCUCGUAGUCGGAGUGUGGGAGCUGGAGGGCAUGGGCCUUGGCGCAAGCCGAGUGCCCGCAUGUGCCUUCCCCCCAAGCAUUCCUGGGAGUGGCUUGCUCCUUCGGGGGCAUGUCAGUGUCCAGGACGUUUACCUUGAAAAAAUUAGAGUGUUCAAAGCAGGCAUUUUGCUUGAAUAUAUUAGCAUGGAAUAAUGGAAUAGGACCCUGGGUCUUGUUUUGUUGGCUUUACUUGGCCGCGGGUAAUGAUUAAUAGGAGCAGUUGGGGGCAUUUGAACUGGGCGGUUAGAGGUGAAAUUCUUGGAUCCGCCCAAGUCAGACUAGUGCGAAAGCAUUUGCCCAGCAUGUGUCCGUUGAUCAAGAACGAAAGUUAGGGGAUCGAAGACGAUUAGAUACCGUCGUAGUCUUAACUAUAAACGAUGCCGACUGGGGAUGAGCCGCCUUUUCAGAGGCGGUUUGGACUCUGGGAGAAAUCAAAGUGUUUGGGUUCCGGGGGGAGUAUGGUCGCAAGGCUGAAACUUGAAGGAAUUGACGGAAGGGCACCACCAGAAAUGGAGCCUGCGGCU